CUGUCUAUCCCCCUUGCCUUUCCUGUGUAUUCUCCUAUAAAGACCCAUUCUUCUCCCUCCCACCUGUUUACUGUCACCCUGUCAUCCUGCCAUCUUUCCCAUGUGAUCCUGCCGCCUCCUGCCUCUGGGACCUGUGAGCACUACUGAAUGUGGGCGGGGACUACCUGAGGCCAGAAUACCAGCAGGUGAACUUCACUGAUCACUUUGACCUGUACCAUGUUCGUGAGAACUGACAUCUUCACCAACCAAGUCACCCCAUGCAGGCACAUGAUCUGUGCUGUCUCUCAGAAGUGACCUGGCUUCCCUUGUGAGGUUUGCGUGUUGCUGUGGAGACCAGCUACAGCUGCCAGCGGUGGGGAGAGAGUCUGGGGAGAGAGCACUAUCACACUGGCACUAACACAGGACCUAUGGCAACCCUGUGCGGAAGUCUAGGCAACAGACACCCGUUGCCUGGCAGCAGCCCCCUCCCACCCUGGCCCUUGCUGCCCUACUGCAUGACAGACUCAGACCCAAGAGCCUCUCAGAGCUGGUGCUCAAGAAAUACUUGCUGGAUGACUGAAUGAGGACCACCCACCCUGCUCUUCUUCAAAUGAGGACACCGAAGCCCAGGGUUCCUCUUAUACUUGGGGGUAACUUGUUGGAGCUGAGUUAUUGGUCAUCCAGCAGAGUGAAUGAAAAAGCAAAGAUCUUUCUGGGUACAGUAGCCCAUGCCUAUAACCCAGCAACUCAGGAGGCUGAGGCAGGAGGAUAGCAAGUUCAAGGCCA